GAGAGCUCAAGCGGCAUCUCAGCAGUGCGAGCAGAAAGCCACCGUAGAGAGCGAAUGGAAACCAGCCGACAUAUUCAGUACUCUGGGGGAAAGGGAACGUGAUAGAAGUUUGUUGGAAGCAAGAAGAGCCCAGUGGAAAAAAGAGCUAGACGAACAGGUUGCUUUAAAGAAGAAAGAAAAAGAAGCUUCUCAAAAAUGGCCUGAUCCUUGGAAACCGUCUGAAAUACUGUGUGAGAAGCUUCAGGUCCUUGAGCGAUCUAAGGAAGCAGGGCUGUUGGAGUCCCCUUGCAUCACUGUUAAACAGGAGCAGCAGAGAAAAUGGAUUGAAGAGUUGAAUAAGCAAGUAGAAGAUGACCAGCAAAGAAAA
rnacentral:lncRNA from 1 species